rnacentral:rRNA from 1 species
AUGGAGCCACCGUCGCUGUCGUGUUUCUCGAAGAGGCCGUCGUCCAAGGACAUCGCCGGCGACCGAGCCAAGCCUUGCGAGGAUGACUCCUCUGCUCUCUCCCCUAUCCUGCCGACGCCCUCUUCAGCUCCUGCUCCUCCGCCGCCAUCAAAGGGGAUAGCCGGGGACCAAGCCGAGCCCUGCGUGGCUGCUCCCUCCCCAAUCCCGGUGAUGGCCUCUUCGGCCCCUGCUCCCCCGCCUCCUCCUAUUCUACCCCAAGAUUUGAUGGAAGUUACCAUGGGUGAUGUCGAUGACCAAAUGGUGUUGACGAUCGACAAGCAAGCUGAAAAGUGGGAAGCCAUGGAGCAGGAACAACAUGUGUGGAAUGCUAUCGAUGAGGAACGGAAGCGGAAGGAAAAACGAAGGCAUAAGACGAGAAAGAAAAGCCUGGAAGAGAAGAGGAAAGAGAAGAGGAAAGAGAAGAGGAAGAAGCAAGAGAAGAAGAGGAAAAACCAGGAGGAGGAGUUGCAGGAGGAGGAGGAGUUGCAGGGGAAGAGGAAACAUGCUCGUUCAAUGAACUGUUCUGAAUUUGUUCAAGGAGCUACAACAGAGGAGCUACAGAGACGAGAUUCUCCACCUAUGACACAUAGUCAAAGAGCGACAAGAUCACCAUUGGUAAGGUCACCGGUGGCGAGCACGUGGAGAUCUUCCCUUGGUCUUCUAGCAAGAGUUGCAUCCUCAAAAAGGGGCAGGUCUCCCUCAACGAGGAUUGCAAGUUCCCCAUUGGAGGAGAGGGCAAAUUCGUCCGCGAGAUCACCAUCUAUCUUAGGAUCCCCUUCUCCAGUGACUACUCCAUUUGGAGGCUCAAAAAUUAAUCAUCCACAUGUCUGCAAGACAAGAAGGCUAACUUCUGCUGUUUGGAGGGAUUUCAAACCAAUGUACUUUCUGGUUCAAGUUAUUCUACCUCAAAUUUGUACUUUCAUCAAAUCUGGAAUGUGA